AGAAACUGAAAGAACAGAGUCAUUUCUCUCGGCCCUCAUUGCUCCCCACAAAGAAAAGAACACAGUCACGGAAAGAACACAUUCAUUUUCAAUUUUCAAUUUUCCUUCUCUCUCUCUAGAAAAUCCCCAGAGACUCUCAGUGUGCACAACACUCGCAGCCCUCGCAUUUCUAUUUGUCCCAUAAAUGGGAGUUAUCAUCUGCACGGGAGUUCGGUCGUGAAUCCUAAAUUUCUAAAGAGGACUCGGAUCCACAACAAAAGAGAGAGGCAAUAAUACACAGAUUUUUGUGAGUUAAAACGUGUGUAGACUGCUCACAGAUCUGUUGUCUGCAAAGUAGAAACAGAAGCAAAGCGUCUCCGACCCACAGAUCCGAGCAUAAGAAAGGUGAUUCAGAUCGAGUGGAAAUCCGAGAAAAAAUAGUGCGCAAGCUGUAAAUGUAGUCGACAAAAUGGCAAAGCAAAUCUCUAAGUCAACGCGAUUGUGGAUUGGAAAGGGAAAAUACCCCAGAUUGGCAAAGGCAACGUGAUGACAAAACUAUGAGCUUACACUGAAUAAUGGCCGCUUAGCAAAAUAGAAAGGCAUAUUAGGAGAACCUGCUGAUAACUCAAAAAUGCCCCUUUUCUGUGAAUGUUUUGCUGCCCAUUGUUGAGAUUAUGUAGCCAUUGUAUCAAAUAAUUCAAAUUCUUCUCUUGUAGAUUUAUUUGACAAUGAACCCCCAGCUGAUGCAUUAACAUGACUUUUGGAUGUAGGAUUAAGCCCAUUAAAGAAAAUAUUUAUUUGUAUAUCUGGAUCAAUAUUAACAUGUGGACAUUUUAUA